rnacentral:rRNA from 1 species
GACAGUACCUAGAGAAUAAGCUCCGGCUAACUCCGUGCCAGCAGCCGCGGUAAUACGGAGGGAGCUAGCGUUGUUCGGAAUUACUGGGCGUAAAGAGUACGUAGGCGGUUAUUCAAGUCAGAGGUGAAAGCCUGGAGCUCAACUCCAGAACUGCCUUUGAAACUAGAUAGCUAGAAUCUUGGAGAGGUGAGUGGAAUUCCGAGUGUAGAGGUGAAAUUCGUAGAUAUUCGGAAGAACACCAGUGGCGAAGGCGACUCACUGGACAAGUAUUGACGCUGAGGUACGAAAGCGUGGGGAGCAAACAGGAUUAGAUACCCUGGUAGUCCACGCCGUAAACGAUGAUAACUAGCUGUUCGGGCUCUACGAGCUUGAGUGGCGCAGCUAACGCAUUAAGUUAUCCGCCUGGGGAGUACGGUCGCAAGAUUAAAACUCAU